rnacentral:pre_miRNA from 1 species
UCUUAUGGACGAGCAAAGAAAGUGGUUUCUUGAGAUAGAAUCUCCUCCUGGUGAAGGUGCUGUGAA